rnacentral:rRNA from 1 species
UACGAAGGGGGCUAGCGUUGCUCGGAAUCACUGGGCGUAAAGCGCACGUAGGCGGAUUGCUAAGUCAGGGGUGAAAUCCUGGAGCUCAACUCCAGAACUGCCUUUGAUACUGGCGAUCUUGAGUCCGGGAGAGGUGAGUGGAACUGCGAGUGUAGAGGUGAAAUUCGUAGAUAUUCGCAAGAACACCAGUGGCGAAGGCAGCUCGCUGGGACGUGACUGACGCGUGAGACGGCGAAAGCGUGGGGAGCAAACAGG